rnacentral:misc_RNA from 1 species
CUUCUUUUAGGUGUUUCAAUCUUCUUAGCUGCCCAUGUCACUUUUAAGCCCAUGCUUAUGCGUUUUUUGUAUCUUGGUUUCUAUGAUUUUUCACAUGAGACUUUACAUGCUUAAACAUUUGUUAUGUGUUGUUGGUUUUGAUGUCUUGAAAGUGGAUAGUGCAAGGACACAUUUCUUUUCCUUUGGAAUUUGCAGUUCUCUCAUCUUUUCAUCUGGUUUGUAGGCAUGAAAAUAUUUCGUGAGGGGCAAUUGUUUAUUGGUGCUUCAACCUCCUGUUACUUUUAAUUAUCAUCUCGAGUUGAUAGGCUUUUCAGAAUUUAAUCAUAGCAAUGGCCGACCCUAUGUCUGGGCCGCUUGAUCGACAUAUGAUACCAGGUCUGGAAAAAUCGAGCAUUGAGAUCAUUGAGGAAGAGAGGAAGACUAGGCUUGGAUCUCUGAAGAAGAAGGCAAUUAAUGCCUCCAACAAGUUCAGGAAUUCUUUUACAAAGAAGGGCCGCAGACAUAGCAGAGUGAUGUCUGUUGCAAUUGAUGAUAACCUUGAUGCAGAGGAAUUACAAGCAGUGGAUGCAUUUCGUCAAGUACUUAUCCUUGAUGAGCUACUGCCUUCUAAGCAUGAUGAUCACCAUAUGAUGCUCAGAUUUUUGAAGGCCAGAAAAUUUGACAUUGAAAAAGCAAAGCAAAUGUGGUCUGAUAUGCUCCAGUGGAGGAAGGAAUUUGGUACUGACACAAUCAUGGAGGACUUAGAGUUCCAGGAAUUAGAUGAAGUUGUGAAAUACUAUCCACAAGGAUACCAUGGGGUUGAUAAGGAAGGACGACCUGUUUACAUUGAAAAACUGGGUGAAGUUGAUGCUAACAAGCUGCUGCAAGUCACGACUUUGGAUCGAUAUGUGAAGUACCAUGUGCGGGAAUUUGAGAAAGCCUUUACUUAUAAGCUCCCAGCUUGUUCAAUUGCAGCAAAGAUGCACGUUGACCAGAGCACCACCAUUUUGGAUGUGCAAGGAGUGGGUCUCAAACACUUCAGCAAAACUGCAAGGGAUCUUAUCACUCGCAUUCAAAAGAUUGAUGGUGACAAUUAC